rnacentral:piRNA from 1 species
UGGGGCCUGUAACAGAAGGUAUGUUGC